rnacentral:lncRNA from 1 species
UCACCUGGACAAAUCAAUGCCUAAAUAACAUUUAUUCUCUGAUUUGCUAGAAAAUAUGGGGACAGAUUCUGGAAAGAUUGCUAUGAAGCAAUACCAAAACAAAAGGGACUGAAAGAUACUUAAAAGUGUCUUGUUCUGCUUCAUGUAACACCAAACAUUUCUCACUGCUCACAGACCAAGUGACAGCAGCAGCAGCCACUGUGCCCAGGCACCUCUGCUUACCCUGUUAGCCACCAGCAGGCUCCACUGGUAGCCUAAAUUUAUCUGUACUGUGAGAAACAUGUUUCUGGAAGCCUGUUGUUCCCAAGAAAUACCUGCAAUGUGUUGAACAAGCACCGAGGUUCCUCCUUGGGAUGCAGCCGGACGUGCUGUGAAAGCUGAGAGCUCCUGGGGAAGUUCUCCUGGGAAACAUCUGUGGGAGACUCUGACACCAGCUGAAGGGUUAUGUAGGGCUUGAGCAACAAACCAUCUGUCAGGACCUGCUUAUUAGGAUGUUUACUCACAAAAGUGGCCUUUUCAUCAGGGCAGCAGAAGCAGUUUCUGAAUGCAGCCAUGACCACCAAGAAAACAGCCUCAGAAUCAGUCAACAGGAACAGGAAUGGAUCCAGCAGCCAGAGGAAUCAGUGUCUAGCACAGGGACACUUUGUCUAUUUUGCCAUCUCUCCUAGCUGUAGAUCAGUAAAUUAUUUGGGUUUUUAGAUCAAUGCCAGUGAGGAUCUUUUGCAGGACAAAAGGCAUUUUGUUUCCCUGCCCCACACAAAUCCAUCAACUCUGAUAUACAUUUAGGGAGGGUGAUGUAUUAUAUUCACUUUGCUGUUCUUCCUGUCCAUAUUAUGAUGCUUGUGUUGAGUAGCUAAUAAAGGGUGGGAACACAACAGAAAGCUCCCCACUUGCCUUUUUAUUUGUUGUUGAAUAUGAAAUUAAUUCCCAAGAAACCUACCCAGGGUGACAGUGGGCAUCUGCAAAGGGCCCAGGGGAAGACACAUGCUCUGAAUCAAAUGUCAGUGGCUCAGCAAUAAAAGCCUCUCUCAGGGCUGAGACCAUCCUUCAAAGGCAGCAAGUCUCUCUGUGAUCAACACAGGAAAAAGAAAGCAGCAGGAACCACAGCAGAGAUCCCUAUCUCCAUGACAGGGAAGGGGAGGGGAAGGAAAGGGAGCUUGUCAUUUAACAGCAAUAAUAAACACUUCUGAGUGUGCUUCCUCCUCUCCGUGCAUGAGCAUCUUCACCCUAAGCCCUGAUGGGCUUCAGGCGGGAUCAGUCAGAUCCAAACCUCUCAAUCCCAAUAUUCCUGUCAGAGAAAAAUACUUUGGGGUAGCUGUGGAUUGUGCAGCUAUAGGGUUGCUGCAGGGGGUCCCACAGUGUUGAAGACAGUGAUGUGUUUGUUGUCCCAUACAAACCACUCAGAAGACACCUGUAAAAAAACAUGGAUAUGUUGCAGAUGAGAAAAAGAUCGCAUCUCUUCCUUCCAAGCAACUGAACAUCAAGGAAAACACUCUCACGAGGUGUUUGACAGGAGAAACAAGCCAGAACUUCACUUUCAUUCAGCACUCAGGGCUUUAAUGCCAAGCCACAAUUUAUUUCACAAGGAAGAAAAAAAGCAGUAAAGGAAACACCAGGAUGAACAUGCUGUCUGCUGUAGCCUGGAGGCAGGAAGGUGGCUUAAGCAAAGGCAGGGAUCAGGAAAUCCAGGUCAGUGGCCAGCACUGCCCUUGACCUCACUGCCCACCAGGUGGGAUGGCCAUUCACCUGGCACAGCUCCUGUGGCUCCUGCCAUGGCCUCUGCAAGCUGCUCCAACAGGAUUUACAAACCUCUCUCUUAUCAAACCUGAUGGAUUUCCUCUCCCACUCCUUUCCCAGCCCUUGCCCUGCACUGGGAGAUACAGAGAAUGAUGCAGCACUGAGGACUGACCUUAGGUCUAGAAGGAGGAGACCAUCACCAUGAUUCUGCUUUCCAAGACUCUGGAUUUUUAGCAAACACCUACUCCUUCCUGAGUUCACCUUCCUGAGAGAAGAGCAACUCCAGGAAAUCGUGUCAGUCAAGAGUCCAGGAAAGAAAACUGUAAUGUGAUACAAGUCUAACCCUCAGAAACGCUGGGAACGUCUCCUUUUACAGAGGGCCCUUCCAAAAGAAAACCAAACCACUGUAAAUAAUGUGUCUGGGAAGAGAAGGCAAACUUCUAACCAUUCCCUUGCCUCUGCUGCUUGCUCAGUUAAACUGCAUCUUUCCUUUGAAGCCAGACAAAGUUACCCUCUCUGCUUUCUCGUUCUGCUCUCUAGCCCAAAGAUCCUGCUGUUUUGCUAAUCUCACUGCCUGAAACUGGGAUUACAGUUGGAUUAGCCAGGCAGAUGAAUGAGUGGGGCUCCAGACCCUCCACAUUUGGUGUUUGUGCUUGCCUCAUUUUCCCAUCUCUCCCUGGGCAUCCAGGGGAAGAGAAGGGAACAGAUAUAGAAAGGGUCAUUCUGUCACUUCCCAAGUGCCAUUCCCAGGGUUUACAAAAGGUCCUGCUACUGAUACAGAGCACAAAGCACAUUUAUUCAUAGAAUUCAAGUGGUUUUAGCUCUGUGUCCUCAAAUACAACAAAAUUAAUUUCUUCCAUUAAGAGCUCUCCUUGCUAUUACUGCUUAAAUCAAGGACUCAAGGCACUGCUUCUCCCAAAUUCAAACUAACAAUUUGAAUCCAGUUUCACCAUGGGUGAAACUGAAUUUUCAGUCUGGAUUUUAAGGAAGAGCAGGGAGUUCCUUCCAACAUGAGCCAAAAAAAGUCAUUGGGACAGUUUGUACAAACAGGCAUGGGACUCUUGGAAGGCUUGGUGACCUUGAUCCAGCAUUCCUGAGCACAUGCUUAAUUCACCCCAAAGCGUGUGCUGAAAUGCUUCGCUGAGUAAGAAUGGGGCUUAAUCACAUGCUUAAACACUUACUGCAUGAGCACUUCAGAGAUUGAGAUUGAUUAGGUCCUUCUCCUACCUGUACCUCAUACCUCCCCUCUUUGUGAAAAUCUCGUUUCUGAGGGCAUGAAGCUCAUAAGGAGACACAGGGAACACAUUUUUCAACAGGUUGCAAAUUUUCCAGCUUCCUGCCCCUUGACCACAGAAGACUUGACCCUUUAAAGGGGGUAUAAAACAAUUUACUUCCAAAGCCUGAUGGCAUGAACCCCAUCACGAGGUCAGAGUCCAAGUCAUAUGGAUUUUCUUUAUUGUCAAGGAAAUCUUCGUUCCCAGGACUUACAACUCCUUUAAAACAAACAAAAUCCAGAUUUUCAGAGCUUGGCCCAGUGAAAUCAAGUUGUUAAUGUUAAUACACUUUAUUGAUCUUAAAGGAAUACAGCAUGGAAACAAAGGCCAUUAACUGAGAGAGAGGCUGUUUACAUCAACAAGUCACACAGCAUGAAAGGAAUGAAAGGAGCAGGUCCAAACUGAGGUCCCCAGGAGAACAAUGUACAAAGUUCAAGUGUUUACUUCAGCCUAGACUUAGACUGGUCCCCAAUGUCAUUUGGACUAAGCUUGCCCAUUUUUGACUGGAAGCUAUUCCAGGCACCCAUCACUGGGUCAUAUCCCCAGUUCCCUGCUCAGGGGGAAGCACAUCUGCCCUGCCCCUGGGUCAGUGUUCUACCAGUGUGCUCCAAAACUGCUCUGCUGCCCCAGCCAGCACUGGUCAAGUGGAGAUGACCAUGAGACACACUUCCAGACUGCUCUGUUGCUCCAAACCAAGGCACAAGUGGAGACACAGUCAGAUGAAGAGAAAAACUCUCCAAGGACAGCAAAUUCCCAAGGCAAAGAGCAGUGGAGGCACUCAGGUUCUAGGAUGGUUCAUUUGGUUUGUAGGUCAGCAGCUUUUCCUGUAGUUUAUAAGCAACUGCAGGGUGCAAAACUGCUGCCCAACAGUGACUCCCAAGGUAGAUUCAUUUAUGGACUGAAGUCAUGAGGAAUACACAUGGAUUGUGUCCAUAACCAUAUUUGUGGUACAGAGGCUGAUGUUCACCAUAACUGAGGAUUUAGAGUGCCUGCCUGAAAGAGUGGAUGGAUUUAUUGUGCCAGAGGACAAGAGUGACCAGAACCAUGUGUCCAUAGUCUGGAUAAAUGCAUGUCACCAUCAGCCAAGCAUGGAAAGUGACCUUCUUGGCAAAGCAAUGCAAAAUUCAACUUCAGCAGAAGUUGGGAGGGCAAAAGACUAAUAAAUA